UACGUAGGGCGCAAGCGUUAUCCGGAAUUAUUGGGCGUAAAGAGCUCGUAGGCGGUUUGUCGCGUCUGCCGUGAAAGUCCGGGGCUCAACUCCGGAUCUGCGGUGGGUACGGGCAGACUAGAGUGAUGUAGGGGAGACUGGAAUUCCUGGUGUAGCGGUGAAAUGCGCAGAUAUCAGGAGGAACACCGAUGGCGAAGGCAGGUCUCUGGGCAUUAACUGACGCUGAGGAGCGAAAAGCGUGGGGGAGCGAACAGG
rnacentral:rRNA from 1 species